AAAAAAAAAAUUGUUUUCUUCUGGGGAAGUAAGGAGCCUACUUAUUUAUUGAAGGGAGUCAGAACCGAUGAUCCUACUUUUCUAUUAAAAGUCCCAAGCGGCCGAGAUCGGUUUGGCUCAUGGAUAGAGCAUUGGCCUGCGACCUGAAGGGUCCCUGGUUCUAUUCCAGUCAAGGGCACAUGCUGGGGUUACGGACUUGAUCCCCAGCAGGGGGUGUGCAGGAGGCAGCCAAUCAAUGAUUCUCUCUUAUCAAUCAUGUUUCUCUCUCUCCCUCCCUCUCCCUUUCUCUCAGAAAUCAAUAAAAAUAUAU